rnacentral:rRNA from 1 species
AUACGGAGGUUGCAAGCGUUAUUCGGAAUCACUGGGCGUAAAGGACGCGUAGGCGGGUUGGCAAGUCAGAUGUGAAAUCCUACAGCUUAACUGUAGAACUGCAUUUGAAACUGCUAACCUAGAGUAUGGGAGGGGGAGAUGGAAUUAGUGGUGUAGGGGUAAAAUCCGUAGAUAUCACUAGGAAUACAGAAAGCGAAGGCGAUCUCCUGGAACAUAACUGACGCUAAGGCGUGAAAGCGUGGGGAGCAAACAGGAUUAGAUACCCUAGUAGUCC